UACGUAGGGGGCAAGCGUUGUCCGGAAUCAUUGGGCGUAAAGGGCGCGUAGGCGGCAAUUCAAGUCAGUUGUGAAAUCUCCGAGCUUAACUCGGAACGGUCAACUGAUACUGCUUUGCUAGAGUACAGAAGGGGCAAUCGGAAUUCUUGGUGUAGCGGUGAAAUGCGUAGAUAUCAAGAGGAACACCUGAGGUGAAGACGGGUUGCUGGGCUGAUACUGACGCUGAGGCGCGAAAGCUAGGGUAGCAAACGGG
rnacentral:rRNA from 1 species